rnacentral:rRNA from 1 species
CCUUAGUAACGGCGAGUGAAAAGGAAAAAGCUCAGCGUCGAAACCAAGUUGGCUAACGUUGACUUGGUGCUGUGACGUAUAGAAGCGUUCAUGUGCGGUUUGUUGAUGGUGCGAAUUCUCUUUGACUAGGGAUCCAAAGAGGGUGCUAGACCCUUACGCAUUGUUGACUUUUCGUACGCGUUCGUUUCUUGGAGUAGGGUUGUUUUGGAUCGCAGCCCAAAGUAGGUGGUAUACUUCAUCUAAAGCUAAAUACGACUACGAAUCCGAUAGCAAACAAGUACCGUGAGGGAAAGUUGCAAAGUACUUUGAAGAGAGAGUUCAAGAGGACGUGAAACCGGUAGGGUGGAAGCAGAUAAAGUUGACGAACGUGUGUCGUAUUCAGAACUACAAUUUGUGGUUUGUUUUUACGAUCGAUGUGGGCUGGCGUCUUUGGUUAACUUAGUGUCUGGCGGCAAUGGUGACCCUGCGGAGGGAUAAUCGGUUGUCGUGCGAUGCUUGGUAUGGCUAGAGGUUCGCUGGUCUUAUAGUCAUCGCUUUAUCUGACCCGUCUUGAAACACGGACCAAGGAGUGUAGCGCUUACGCGAGUCUUAGAGUGUGUCAAAACUUUGAGGCGUAACGAAAGUAAAUGUGGAUUUAUUCACUGACUUGGGAUGCGUUGUCUUUUUUGGAUAGCGUUGGACCAUGGUUUUAUCGUAAUCGCUUGCGAUGCGGUGAAAAUAGAGCGUAAGCGGUGCGACCCGAAAGAUGGUGAACUAUGCCUGAGCAGGAUGAAGCCGGAGGAAACUCUGGUGGAAGUCCGAAGCGGUUCUGACGUGCAAAUCGAUCGUCUGACUUGGGUAUAGGGGCGAAAGACUAAUCGAACCAUCUGGUAGCUGGUUUCCUCUGAAGUUUCCUCAGGAUAGCUG